AGACUGAGUGUUAGGCAAAUCCGGCACUCGUAAGGUUGAGUUGUGAUGGGGAGUUGGAUCAUGUAUCCGACGAGUCGUUGAUUUCACACUGCCAAGAAAAGCCUCUAGUUAGAAAAUAGGUGCCCGUACCGCAAACCGACACAGGUAGUCAAGAUGAGAAUUCUAAGGUGAGCGAGCGAACUCUCGUUAAGGAACUCGGCAAAAUGACCCCGUAACUUCGGGAGAAGGGGUGCUUUUUAGGGUGCAAGCCUUGAAGAGCCGCAGUGAAUAGGCCCAAGCGACUGUUUAUCAAAAACACAGGUCUCUGCUAAACCGUAAGGUGAUGUAUAGGGGCUGACGCCUGCCCGGUGCUGGAAGGUUAAGAGGAGUGGUUAGCUUCUGCGAAGCUACGAAUCGAAGCCCCAGUAAACGGCGGCCGUAACUAUAACGGUCCUAAGGUAGCGAAAUUCCUUGUCGGGUAAGUUCCGACCCGCACGAAAGGCGUAACGAUUUGGGCACUGUCUCAACGAGAGACUCGGUGAAAUCAUAGUACCUGUGAAGAUGCAGGUUACCCGCGACAGGACGGAAAGACCCCGUGGAGCUUUACUGUAGCCUGAUAUUGAAAUUUGGCACAGCUUGUACAGGAUAGGUAGGAGCCUUUGAAACGUGAGCGCUAGCUUACGUGGAGGCGCUGGUGGGAUACUACCCUGGCUGUGUUGACUUUCUAACCCGCACCAUUUGAUCAUGGUGGGAGACAGUGUCAGGCGGGCAGUUUGACUGGGGCGGUCGCCUCCUAAAGAGUAACGGAGGCGCUCAAAGGUUCCCUCAGAAUGGUUGGAAAUCAUUCGCAGAGUGUAAAGGCACAAGGGAGCUUGACUGCGAGACCUACAAGUCGAGCAGGGUCGAAAGACGGACUUAGUGAUCCGGUGGUUCCGCAUGGAAGGGCCAUCGCUCAACGGAUAAAAGCUACCCCGGGGAUAACAGGCUUAUCUCCCCCAAGAGUUCACAUCGACGGGGAGGUUUGGCACCUCGAUGUCGGCUCAUCGCAUCCUGGGGCUGUAGUCGGUCCCAAGGGUUGGGCUGUUCGCCCAUUAAAGCGGUACGCGAGCUGGGUUCAGAACGUCGUGAGACAGUUCGGUCCCUAUCCGUCGUGGGCGUAGGAAAUUUGAGAGGAGCUGUCCUUAGUACGAGAGGACCGGGAUGGACAUACCUCUGGUGUACCAGUUGUCGCGCCAGCGGCAUAGCUGGGUAGCUAUGUAUGGACGGGAUAAGUGCUGAAAGCAUCUAAGCAUGAAGCCCCCCUCAAGAUGAGAUUUCCCAACUUCGGUUAUAAGAUCCCUCAAAGAUGAUGAGGUUAAUAGGUUCGGGGUGUAAGCGCAGUAAUGUGUGUAGCUGACGAAUACUAAUCGAUCGAAGACUUAAUCAA
rnacentral:rRNA from 1 species